AUGUCACCUCAUUAAUUAGGUGUGUAUGACUAUUCCAGACAAUUUGAUGGAAUUUGAAAUACUAACACAUUAGGUUUAUGCAGAGGUCUCCAUUUGCACCAGCUCUGGCCGAGGCACUUAGGGACAGGGUGUUUGGUGUGGAUGAUUCUGAGAGACAAUUGCAUAUAAUUUACCUUGCCAAUGACAUUCUAUUUGACAGCUUGUAGCAUAGGAUCAACCCUCAUGAGCUUGAUAACGAGGCACUUGCAUUUAAGCCUGUUUUAGGUUCCAUGCUUGCCAGGAUUUACCACAACCCUCAAAACAAGGAGGAAAAUCAAUCACGAUUGCAGAAAAUCUUACAAUUCUGGGCUUCCAAGGAAGUCUAUGAUCAUGUCACUAUUCAUGCGCUUGAGAAUGAGAUGAUUGGAAGCGGAAAAACUUACACUAUGAAGCCAUUGCCCCUUAAGGCCUCUCGAGAUAUCUUGAAGCUGAUGCACCAUACUUACUGGAACCAGGGCUUUCAGUUGUUUUUCAGCUUCUUUGAGAUAUAUAUAUGGAGGAAAACUUUUUGAUCUCCUCAGUGAUAGGAAGAAACUUUGCAUGAGAGAGGAUGGUAAACAGAAAGUUUGCAUUGUUGGUUUGCAAUAGUGCAAAGUGUCAGAUGUGGAGACAAUCCAGGAGCUCAUAGAGAAGGGAAAUGCUACAAGAAGUGCAGGCACAACCGGUGCAAAUAAGGAAUCAUCACGUUCACAUGCCAUUCUUUAGCUUGCUAUUCAAAGGUCAGCUGAUGGCAGUGAAUCUAAGCCUCCGAGAGUUGUUGGCAAGCUCUCCUUCAUAGAUCUUGCUGGAAGUGAAUGAGGUGCAGAUACUACUAAAGGAGAUGAACCUGUUGGUUGAGGCAGAUCAACUAGGAAAUCAGUUGGAUGAUUAUAUAUCUAGAUUGAAUGCAAUCCUGUCCCAGAAGGCUGCUGGCAUUCUACAACUACAAAACCGUCUGACGUCUAAAGGAGCAUAAUGUUCUAGUGUCUUCUUCUGAUUGCUAGACCAGUAUAUGUAAUCGUUUUCUAUGUUGUAAAUUCCAUUCUUUUUUCAGUGCUCCAAAUACUGUGACUAAUAUAAUUAAAAUAAUAUUAAGAUUUUUUUUUUUGCACAA